UACGUAGGGUGCGAGCGUUGUCCGGAAUUAUUGGGCGUAAAGAGCUUGUAGGCGGUCUGUCGCGUCUGCUGUGAAAAUCCGGGGCUCAACCCCGGACUUGCAGUGGGUACGGGCAGACUAGAGUUCGGUAGGGGAGAUCGGAAUUCCUGGUGUAGCGGUGAAAUGCGCAGAUAUCAGGAGGAACACCGGUGGCGAAGGCGGAUCUCUGGACAGUUACUGACACUGAGGCACGAAGGCCAGGGGAGCAAACGGG
rnacentral:rRNA from 1 species